AAAGCGGAGGAAAAAGAAACCAACAGGGAUUGCCUUAGUAACGGCGAGUGAAGCGGCAAAAGCUCAAAUUUGAAAUCGGCCCCCAGGUCGAGUUGUAAUUUGUAGAUUGUAUCUUGAGAGCGGAUUAAAGUCUGUUGGAACACAGCGCCUUAGAGGGUGACAGCCCCGUAAAAUCUAUUCUCAUUGUAAGAUACUUUCGAAGAGUCGAGUUGUUUGGGAAUGCAGCUCUAAGUGGGAGGUAAAUUCCUUCUAAAGCUAAAUAUUGACGAGAGACCGAUAGCGAACAAGUACUGUGAAGGAAAGAUGAAAAGCACUUUGAAAAGAGAGUGAAAAAGUACGUGAAAUUGUUAAAAGGGAAGGGUAUUGAAUCAGACUUGGUGCUGUUGUUCAACUGUGUUUUGGCACAGUGUACUCAGCAGUACUAGGCCAAGGUGGGGUGUUUGGGAGUGAAAAAGAAGUUGGAACGUAACUCUUCGGAGUGUUAUAG
rnacentral:rRNA from 1 species